GUACCCUUAGUUCAGUUGGUUAGAACGUCUGACUGUUAAUCAGAAAGUCGCAGGUUCGAGUCCUGCAGGGUGCG
rnacentral:tRNA from 1 species